UACAGAGGGUGCGAGCGUUGUCCGGAAUCACUGGGCGUAAAGGGCGCGUAGGCGGUCCGCUAAGUGUGUGGUGAAAGCCCGGGGCUCAACCCCGGAGGGUCUCUCGAAACUGCCGAGCUAGAGUGCGGAAGAGGCAACCGGAAUUCCCAGUGUAGCGGUGAAAUGCGUAGAUAUUGGGAAGAACACCGGAGGCGAAGGCGGGUUGCUGGGCCGACACUGACGCUGAGGCGC
rnacentral:rRNA from 1 species